UGAAGCAGAGGACAGUGGCGGACGGGUGAGUAACGCGUGAGGAACCUGCCUUUCAGAGGGGGACAACAGUUGGAAACGACUGCUAAUACCGCAUGACACAUUGAGGUCGCAUGGCCUUAAUGUCAAAGAUUUAUCGCUGAAAGAUGGCCUCGCGUCUGAUUAGCUAGUCGGUGAGGUAACGGCCCACCAAGGCGACGAUCAGUAGCCGGACUGAGAGGUUGAACGGCCACAUUGGGACUGAGAUACGGCCCAGACUCCUACGGGAGGCAGCAGUGGGGAAUAUUGGGCAAUGGGCGCAAGCCUGACCCAGCAACGCCGCGUGAAGGAAGAAGGCUUUCGGGUUGUAAACUUCUUUUGUCAGGGACGAGUAGAAGACGGUACCUGACGAAUAAGCCACGGCUAACUACGUGCCAGCAGCCGCGGUAAUACGUAGGUGGCAAGCGUUGUCCGGAUUUACUGGGUGUAAAGGGCGUGUAGCCGGGAGGGCAAGUCAGAUGUGAAAUCCACGGGCUUAACUCGUGAACUGCAUUUGAAACUGUUUUUCUUGAGUAUCGGAGAGGCAAUCGGAAUUCCUAGUGUAGCGGUGAAAUGCGUAGAUAUUAGGAGGAACACCAGUGGCGAAGGCGGAUUGCUGGACG
rnacentral:rRNA from 1 species